CCUACGGGAGGCUGCAGUGAGGAAUAUUGGUCAAUGGGCGAGAUCCUGAACCAGCCAAGCCGCGUGAGGGAAGACGGCCCUAUGGGUUGUAAACCUCUUUUGUCGGAGAACAAAACCCGGGACGUGUCCCGGACUGCGUGUAUCCGAAGAAAAAGCAUCGGCUAACUCCGUGCCAGCAGCCGCGGUAAUACGGAGGAUGCGAGCGUUAUCCGGAUUUAUUGGGUUUAAAGGGUGCGUAGGCGGUCCGUUAAGUCAGCGGGAAAAUUGCGGGGCUCAACCCCGUCGAGCCGUUGAAACUGGCAGACUUGAGUUGGCGAGAAGUACGCGGAAUGCGCGGUGUAGCGGUGAAAUGCAUAGAUAUCGCGCAGAACUCCGAUUGCGAAGGCAGCGUACCGGAGCCAGACUGACGCUGAGGCACGAAAGCGUGGGGAUCGAACAGGAUUAGAUACCCUAGUAGUC
rnacentral:rRNA from 1 species